UAGUCCACGCCCUAAACGAUGUCUACUAGUUGUCGGGUUUUCAUUAACUUGGUAACGCAGCUAACGCGUGAAGUAGACCGCCUGGGGAGUACGGCCGCAAGGUUAAAACUCAAACGAAUUGACGGGGACCCGCACAAGCGGUGGAUGAUGUGGAUUAAUUCGAUGCAACGCGAAGAACCUUACCAGGCCUUGACAUCCUAGGAAUCCUUUAGAGAUAGAGGAGUGCCUUCGGGAAUCUAGUGACAGGUGCUGCAUGGCUGUCGUCAGCUCGUGUCGUGAGAUGUUGGGUUAAGUCCCGCAACGAGCGCAACCCUUGUCCUUAGUUGCCAGCACGUUAUGGUGGGAACUCUAAGGAGACUGCCGGUGACAAAACCGGAGGAAGGUGGGGAUGACGCCAAGUCAUCAUGGGCCCUUAUGGCCUGGGGCUACACACGUGCUACAAUGGUGGGAUACAAAAGGGGUUGCCAAACCUGCGAGGGGGAGCGUAAAUCUCAGAAAAAUCCAAUCUCAGUCCGGG
rnacentral:rRNA from 1 species